rnacentral:rRNA from 1 species
CUCCUACGGGAGGCAGCAGUGAGGAAUAUUGGUCAAUGGGCGAGAGCCUGAACCAGCCAAGUAGCGUGAAGGAUGACUGCCCUAUGGGUUGUAAACUUCUUUUAUAAAGGAAUAAAGUCGGGUAUGCAUACCCGUUUGCAUGUACUUUAUGAAUAAGGAUCGGCUAACUCCGUGCCAGCAGCCGCGGUAAUACGGAGGAUCCGAGCGUUAUCCGGAUUUAUUGGGUUUAAAGGGAGCGUAGAUGGAUGUUUAAGUCAGUUGUGAAAGUUUGCGGCUCAACCGUAAAAUUGCAGUUGAUACUGGAUAUCUUGAGUGCAGUUGAGGCAGGCGGAAUUCGUGGUGUAGCGGUGAAAUGCUUAGAUAUCACGAAGAACUCCGAUUGCGAAGGCAGCCUGCUAAGCUGCAACUGACAUUGAGGCUCGAAAGUGUGGGUAUCAAACAGGAUUAGAUACCCUGGUAGUCCACACGGUAAACGAUGAAUACUCGCUGUUUGCGAUAUACAGCAAGCGGCCAAGCGAAAGCGUUAAGUAUUCCACCUGGGGAGUACGCCGGCAACGGUGAAACUCAAAGGAAUUGACGGGGGCCCGCACAAGCGGAGGAACAUGUGGUUUAAUUCGAUGAUACGCGAGGAACCUUACCCGGGCUUAAAUUGCAGAUGAAUUACGGUGAAAGCCGUAAGCCGCAAGGCAUCUGUGAAGGUGCUGCAUGGUUGUCGUCAGCUCGUGCCGUGAGGUGUCGGCUUAAGUGCCAUAACGAGCGCAACCCUUGUUGUCAGUUACUAACAGGUUCCGCUGAGGACUCUGACAAGACUGCCAUCGUAAGAUGUGAGGAAGGUGGGGAUGACGUCAAAUCAGCACGGCCCUUACGUCCGGGGCUACACACGUGUUACAAUGGGGGGGUACAGAGGGCCGCUACCACGCGAGUGGAUGCCAAUCCCAAAAACCUCUCUCAGUUCGGACUGGAGUCUGCAACCCGACUCCACGAAGCUGGAUUCGCUAGUAAUCGCGCAUCAGCCACGGCGCGGUGAAUACGUUCCCGGGCCUUGUACACACCGC